rnacentral:lncRNA from 1 species
UCUCUCAUUAAUUUGGAUGGGCCUUUCUGACCUUAAAUUUCAUCAAGAAAGGAUAUAAUAAUGUAUCUUGGUGGAUACAUUUCAGGAUAAUAAGUAAAAGAGUUUUCCUAAUUUCCAUACUACCAUGUCAACAUAUAGGAUUAGAUCUACAAUAUCGUUAUAAAUGAUCAAACCCGUUGCUGUUUUCGAGAAAGAGUUAUCAGCAUAAGCGUACGAAGAUAUAUCAUAUUCUAUUCAUAUAUAGCCUUACAAAGUUAUAGGGGUUUCCCGGUGAUCCGGCGGGAGGGUUUUCCUCACUACAAAGGAAAUAAGCCUGUCAAUGACUCCUCCUAAGUCAUUUUCCUUAUUCCAUUCAUUCCAAACCUUACUUUCACCCUUUGCUCAUUUCUCCAAAACUUUUUAAAACGCAACGUUCAUAUGGCAACUCCAUUUGUCGUUUCCUUUACUGUUGAUCCCAUCAUUCACUCGGUAUAAGCCUCAUAUUAAUAUAUUUUAUGAGCCGAUUGAUAAUCUCCUAAUGAUAUAAGUUCGAUAUUUCAACUUUUUCAAAUAGCUUAAAGCAAAUAACUCAAAUAGCAUUAAAGCUUAAGGAAAAACGAAGGUUAUCAUAUUAUGAUUGAGUGUUUCUGAAAUGUUGAUCACUAAUAAUGGACACUGUGACUGGUCAAUUUAAUUGCUUGCUCGAACUUCAUAUAAUCAUUAAGAAACUUAAAAUGACUUUGCUUCAUCAAUAUUUGAAGAAAGUUAGAUGCCUAUUCAGAGUCAAUCUACUGAGAAGUGUGGAUACCUAUUAUAAACGAUUGGAACAACGGUAUAGAGUCCAAUUAAACGAAGGGUAUUGCCAUUUUAAAAACGUUAAUGUUAUAUUCAUUCAAUUAUAAAUCUAAUAUUUAAAUAGUCUCUAAUUAUUUGAGUUAAACCGCAAAACCUAACCUAAUAAGGAAAUUUGUGUAUAAUAUAGUGAUUAUUAUUUUUUAUAGCUUCAUAAUACAAUUUUUAAAAACUUAAAUAUAUUGUUUCUUGA